rnacentral:rRNA from 1 species
UUGUUGGCCGGGCGACGGUUGUCCCGGUUUAAGCGUGUAGGCUGGUUUUCCAGGCAAAUCCGGAAAAUCAAGGCUGAGGCGUGAUGACGAGGCACUACGGUGCUGAAGCAACAAAUGCCCUGCUUCCAGGAAAAGCCUCUAAGCAUCAGGUAACAUCAAAUCGUACCCCAAACCGACACAGGUGGUCAGGUAGAGAAUACCAAGGCGCUUGAGAGAACUCGGGUGAAGGAACUAGGCAAAAUGGUGCCGUAACUUCGGGAGAAGGCACGCUGAUAUGUAGGUGAAGUGACUUGCUCGUGGAGCUGAAAUCAGUCGAAGAUACCAGCUGGCUGCAACUGUUUAUUAAAAACACAGCACUGUGCAAACACGAAAGUGGACGUAUACGGUGUGACGCCUGCCCGGUGCCGGAAGGUUAAUUGAUGGGGUUAGCCGCAAGGCGAAGCUCUUGAUCGAAGCCCCGGUAAACGGCGGCCGUAACUAUAACGGUCCUAAGGUAGCGAAAUUCCUUGUCGGGUAAGUUCCGACCUGCACGAAUGGCGUAAUGAUGGCCAGGCUGUCUCCACCCGAGACUCAGUGAAAUUGAACUCGCUGUGAAGAUGCAGUGUACCCGCGGCAAGACGGAAAGACCCCGUGAACCUUUACUAUAGCUUGACACUGAACAUUGAGCCUUGAUGUGUAGGAUAGGUGGGAGGCUUUGAAGUGUGGACGCCAGUCUGCAUGGAGCCGACCUUGAAAUACCACCCUUUAAUGUUUGAUGUUCUAACGUUGACCCGUAAUCCGGGUUGCGGACAGUGUCUGGUGGGUAGUUUGACUGGGGCGGUCUCCUCCUAAAGAGUAACGGAGGAGCACGAAGGUUGGCUAAUCCUGGUCGGACAUCAGGAGGUUAGUGCAAUGGCAUAAGCCAGCUUGACUGCGAGCGUGACGGCGCGAGCAGGUGCGAAAGCAGGUCAUAGUGAUCCGGUGGUUCUGAACGGAAGGGCCAUCGCUCAACGGAUAAAAGGUACUCCGGGGAUAACAGGCUGAUACCGCCCAAGAGUUCAUAUCGACGGCGGUGUUUGGCACCUCGAUGUCGGCUCAUCACAUCCUGGGGCUGAAGUAGGUCCCAAGGGUAUGGCUGUUCGCCAUUUAAAGUGGUACGCGAGCUGGGUUUAGAACGUCGUGAGACAGUUCGGUCCCUAUCUGCCGUGGGCGCUGGAGAACUGAGGGGGGCUGCUCCUAGUACGAGAGGACCGGAGUGGACGCAUCACUGGUGUUCGGGUUGUCAUGCCAAUGGCACUGCCCGGUAGCUAAAUGCGGAAGAGAUAAGUGCUGAAAGCAUCUAAGCACGAAACUUGCCCCGAGAUGAGUUCUCCCUGACUCCUUGAGAGUCCUGAAGGAACGUUGAAGACGACGACGUUGAUAGGCCGGGUGUGUAAGCGCAGCGAUGCGUUGAGCUAACCGGUACUAAUGAACCGUGAGGCUUAACCCU